rnacentral:rRNA from 1 species
GAUGAACGCUGGCGGUGUGCCUAAUACAUGCAAGUCGAGCGAACAGACGAGGAGCUUACUCCUCUGACGUUAGCGGCGGACGGGUGAGUAACACGUGGAUAACCUACCUAUAAGACUGGGAUAACUUCGGGAAACCGGAGCUAAUACCGGAUAACAUGUUGAACCGCAUGGUUCAACAGUGAAAGACGGUCUUGCUGUCACUUAUAGAUGGAUCCGCGUCGCAUUAGCUAGUUGGUAAGGUAACGGCUUACCAAGGCAACGAUGCGUAGCCGACCUGAGAGGGUGAUCGGCCACACUGGAACUGAGACACGGUCCAGACUCCUACGGGAGGCAGCAGUAGGGAAUCUUCCGCAAUGGGCGAAAGCCUGACGGAGCAACGCCGCGUGAGUGAAGAAGGUCUUCGGAUCGUAAAACUCUGUUAUUAGGGAAGAACAAAUGUGUAAGUAACUACGCACGUCUUGACGGUACCUAAUCAGAAAGCCACGGCUAACUACGUG